UCCACUGUAGCUGUGCUCUGGUGCUGGCUGGGUAAGCAUAGCUGUAUUCAACAGGAGUGCUUGCUCAGUCGUUUCCACAUGGGCAAAGAAAAUGUACAGCUCAGGUCUCCCUGAGAACACCCGGAGUGCGAAGGGCCGCACGUUAGCUCAGAAGACACUAGGGUGGCCUGCUUGCUUAUGCACUUUUGGGGGACCAUGCCAGGUUCAUGACCCCUGCUUCCGGGAACCAUUACAGUCUCAUCGCUUGAGGACACCAGUAAUCCAUCAGCUCUGAGCGCUCACGAGCUUCGGAGAGACUGACUCAUCGCAGCCCCAGUGGACAGAACUGGAGGCUGCAGCCUGGCUCCAGGAGGAGCAUCCUGAGGCUGGCUUUCAAAAUAGCAUCCCACAGUGGAGAGUGAGUGUUCCAAAGGCGAACCUGGGAGGGCGUGUCGGGAGGAGAGGCCUGGAAGGACAUGUCGGGAGGACGUGUCAGGAGGACGUGUCUGAUUCAAUCAUCAGCCAGUUUUAAGCCCUCGUGGUGUCUCCAGUCAGAGUCUGUCUGUUGUCUCCUGGAGUUUAGACGACAGCUUCUUAAUGAUGUUUAAUUAUUACUGUGUCUGUUCACAAAGGGCAUGAAAGAGCUGAGUUCUUUGGAGAUGGCCUCGGCCUCCACUUGUGCACCUGCCAGCUGCCCUCCCAGGGCUAGGAUGCUCCUAGCUUGUUGUUCGGCUGUCUAUUCUUGACGUGUUUACCGAUGAAGCGAUAGCAACAGCCACCACACCCGUUUAUGACGGAACUUUUAUUUUUUUGCUUAACGAGACUUUACAAAAUAGCUCUGAAGUUGAUCUUGUAUUUAGUAUGGAAAAUACUUGCCGUCUUUCCAAUCUUCUGAACUACUUAGCAUUUACAUGAUAACCUGCUUUUUGUGUUGGUGUGAAUUCAAAUGUCUCAUGUGCGUGCAUGCUUGUGUGUGUGUGUGUGUGUGUGUGUGUGUUGAGGUCAAAGGACAACAUUCAUUGCAGUUCUUAGCUGUCCACCUUAGCUUUUGAGACAGGCAGGUCUCAGACUGUUCUGGACUCACCAGCUAGGCUGGCUGGUCAGCAAGCCCCCAGAGAUCUGCCUGUCUCUGUCCCCCAGUGCUGGAACAACGAGCAUGUACCAGCAUACCUGGCCUCUGUGACGUGAGUCCUGGAUAUUGAAUCUAGGUUAUUGCCAGCAAGGUAAGCACGGUACCGCUGACUGAGGUUCUCAGCCCCAAAGGGUUCUUCAGAGCAGCUGACUGGUUCUCCUCUUCUCGCACUGACAUUAUCUAAAGUUUAUCCUUCUGUGACCAGGGUUAGGGUGGCAAUGAGGAACAACACAUGGGACCCAGAGAGUGUCUGUGACCUAAACACAUGCCGCUCAGCGGUACCAGUGCCUGCUGAGCUUGGUAGGAAACGGAGGAACCAGGAAGCUUCAAGUGCACAUGUGAGAGGAGCACAGCCUCACCGUCCUCGGCCUUGGGCUGACCAUUCUCUUUACUGUGUGCCUACCUACAGUUGGCAGCUCUGAGGCUCCUCCAGCUGAGUGGAGACCAAGCCUAUCCAUCCCUCAAUUGCCCGUUUCAUUUCCACCUCCAUGUGGAUUUCAAGCCUUCCAUCUUGCAUCUCGAGUGACAACAGCUCCCAUCCUUGUCUUCUUUGUUCCACCAAAGCUGCAGGGACUGCACUCCUGAUUGCAUGGUUGCCCUGCAUAGUUGCCCAGCCGAAAACCCUCUCAUAAGGCAUGCUCACGUUUUAGAACCCUGGCUCACCGUUUCUUCUCCCCUGCAGCCUGUCCUUUGGGCUCCUCUUGCUCUGUUUGGCCUUUUGUUCUUUCCGAGUGGUAAUGAUGGAUUAGCUUUGUUCUUCACUCAGCUGGGUUGGGUCGCACGGCCCUGCCUGGUUCUCACGGCACACAGUUUAGCAGAGGAUAGGGAGAUAUCUCCCUAGAAGUUGUUUCUCUGUUUGGGACCAAGUGUGUGUUUGCGGAGCAGCCUCCUUUUCCCUGCUUAUAUGAUGUUAAAUGUGAUUUGCAGAUUGGUGGUCUGUGUCUAGUCAAUCAUUGGCUUCUUUGGACUAGAAAUCAAUGAAGAUUAAGCUCAAGUUCUCUCUCUCUCUCUCUCUCUCUCUCUCUCUCUGUGUGUGUGUGUAUGAACUUGCACUUGUGUGCAUGUGGGGGUCACAGGUCAACCUUAGGUGUUCCUCAGAUGAUAUCUAUCUUAUUUUUUUUAAAUUUUUUCUCAUCAGGUUGUGGUGGUGCAUGCCUUUAAUCCCAACACUCAGAAGGCAGAGGCAGGCAGAU